GCGAGUGUAAAACUCCAAAACCCACUGUGAACAUACCUUUUCAGUUGCUUCGGCGGGCGGCUCCGGGGGAGCCUCCAGGCCUUUUCAGGUGCCCGCCGACAGCACCCCAAAACUCUUUAUCUCUAGCGAGCUUCGGCUUCUGAGUGGACAAAAUAAAACAAGUAA
rnacentral:misc_RNA from 1 species